GACGAACGCUGGCGGCGUGCUUAACACAUGCAAGUCGAACGGAAAGGCCCUGCUUUUGUGGGGUGCUCGAGUGGCGAACGGGUGAGUAACACGUGAGUAACCUGCCCUUGACUUUGGGAUAACUUCAGGAAACUGGGGCUAAUACCGGAUAGGAGCUCCUGCUGCAUGGUGGGGGUUGGAAAGUUUCGGCGGUUGGGGAUGGACUCGCGGCUUAUCAGCUUGUUGGUGGGGUAGUGGCUUACCAAGGCUUUGACGGGUAGCCGGCCUGGGAGGGUGACCGGCCACAUUGGGACUGGGAUACGGCCCAGACUGCUACGGGAGGCAGCAGUGGGGAAUAUUGCACAAUGGGCGGAAGCCGGAUGCAGCAACGCCGCGUGCGGGAGGACGGCCUUCGGGGUGUAAACCGCUUUCGCCUGUGACGAAGCGUGAGUGACGGUAAUGGGGAAAGAAGCACCGGCUAACUACGG
rnacentral:rRNA from 1 species